rnacentral:rRNA from 1 species
GAUGAACGCUGGCGGCGUGCUUAACACAUGCGAGUCGAACGAAGCAUUUGCGACAGAUUUUUUCGGAAUGAAGUUGCUUAUGACUGAGUGGCGGACGGGUGAGUAACGCGUGGGUAACCUGCCUUGUACUGGGGGAUAGCAGCUGGCAACGGCUGGUAAUACCGCAUAAGCGCACAAUGUUGCAUGACAUGGUGUGAAAAACUCCGGUGGUAUAAGAUGGACCCGCGUCUGAUUAGCUAGUUGGUGAGAUAAAAGCCCACCAAGGCGACGAUCAGUAGCCGACAUGAGAGGCUCACCGGCCACAUUGGGACUGAGACACGGCACAGACUCCUACGGGAGGCAGCAGUGGGGAAUACUGCAACAUGGAGGAAACUCUGAUGCAGCGACGCCGCGUGAGUGAAGAAGUAAUUCGUGAUGUAAAGCUCUAUCAGCAGGGAAGAUAGUGACGGUACCUGACUAAGAAGCUCCGGCUAACUACGUG